rnacentral:rRNA from 1 species
GAUUACGUCCCUGCCCUUUGUACACACCGCCCGUCGCUACUACCGAUUGGAUGUUUUAGUGAGGACUUCGGACCGGCCGAUGUAGCGGCUCUCGUGGUUGCCACGUUGUGCUAGAAAGAUGUCCAAACUUGAACAUCUAGAGGAAGUAAAAGUCGUAACAAGGUUUCCGUAGGUGAACCUGCGGAAGGAUCAUUA